AAAAGGCUGCAAAGGGGUUUGGCCUUCUUCUUUUUCAUCCAUGCUUCUUCUUCCUCCUCCCUAGGGGAAUCAAGAGUUGAUUCAAAGGGAGGAUUUCAGCCAUCAAAAGUUAUCUCUGCAAGGGAGCUAGCACCCCGAGGAGAUUCAAAGGCUUCAAUUGGUUCUCUGCCUCGUGUAGAUGCCCGUAGAGGCCGGACGCGUGUGCGGCUUCAAGCGAACCUUUCAACAAAUAUCACGAUCAUCAGAUUGCGGUGAAUAUCUACCCGCACAAGGUGAAGAUAUGAUCUUCCUAAUCUUAUGAAAAAGUUUUAAUCCUAAUCUAUCUACGAACAUCGGUUUUAAAAUACGUUCAUGCGAUGAGCGACGCGGAUCUCGCACAUGCCCCUUCCGCUGCGUUCAUUCUGAUUUUUCUUCAGAGGUGUGCGAGGGAUCCCAACAGUGGUAUCAGAGCUAUGGUUGUGUAGAUUAAGAUUAGGAUUAAUGGUCAAAGGCAUAAUAGAUCGGAAAAUUUAAAGGUUAUGCUUGCUGAUUUUUCUGCAUGCUGAUUUUUAUGCGUUUGGAUUAAUGAUUCUAUUACUUUGUUAAUGUGAUUACAAGUAUUUAGAAUCAUGUCUUGCAUGAUCAGCAACUCAUAUGAUGACAUAAUCUAUUAAAUAUUCAGAUCUGUAAUUAUAGUCAAUGCAUUAGAUGCAUGUAGUGAUGAUCAUGGAUGGACCCUUUUACAUGUGCUGAAAUGUUCUGCGAUGUUCUGUGAUGUGAUGUGAUGAUAUGUAAAAUCAGAAAUUCAGAUGCUUGCGUGCAUCUUAAAUCAAUUAUUGGAGACCUGCGUGUCUCAUGAAAAAGGGAUGUAACUAUUAUUUAUUUUUCAUAGUUAUCUGGAUUGUAAUCUGUGAUGUGUUUGCACGUCAAUGGUUGAUCGGUGCAUACCUCCACAAGCACGAUUUACGCGGAUCGAGAUCAAGGGUUGAUUGGAGAUGGAUCAAGAAGUUGAUUGCACUUGGACCUAAGGUGCUCAAGAUCGAAUCAAGAGUUGAAUACGAUCUAACCAAUUGACGUGCAUGUGCUUGUACUAUGACCCUCAUCCUGGAUCCAUGAUCAUCACCAGUUAUUCUAUGAUUAUACCUUAUUUUUUAUGUUUAUGUUUAUGCAUAGCGGGUAGAUAAUUGUUUGCAUGAGAUGUAAAUAAUUAAAAUGAUUAAAGAGACCUAAAUUAAAUCUCCUUGACUAAAUAUUAAGUCUAGCGGUCUUCCACCGUAGUAGAGCUG
rnacentral:lncRNA from 1 species